rnacentral:rRNA from 1 species
GACGAACGCUGGCGGCGUGCCUAAUACAUGCAAGUCGAGCGGACAGAAGGGAGCUUGCUCCCGGAAGUCAGCGGCGGACGGGUGAGUAACACGUGGGCAACCUGCCUGUAAGACUGGGAUAACUUCGGGAAACCGGAGCUAAUACCGGAUAGGUUCUUCCCUCGCAUGGGGGAAGAUGGAAAGACGGUUUCGGCUGUCACUUCCAGAUGGGCCCGCGGCGCAUUAGUUAGUUGGUGGGGUAAUGGCCCACCAAGGCGACGAUGCGUAGCCGACCUGAAAGGGUGAUCGGCCACACUGGGACUGAGACACGGCCCAGACUCCUACGGGAGGCAGCAGUAGGGAAUCUUCCGCAAUGGACGAAAGUCUGACGGAGCAACGCCGCGUGAGCGAAGAAGGCCUUCGGGUCGUAAAGCUCUGUUGUCAGGGAAGAACAAGUGCCAGAGUAACUGCUGGCACCUUGACGGUACCUGACCAGAAAGCCACGGCUAACUACGUGCCAGCCGCCGCAGUAAAAC